rnacentral:rRNA from 1 species
GAUCAUGGCUCAGAGUGAAUGCUGGCGGCAUGCUUUAUACAUGCAAGUCGAACGGAGAAGUAAUUUUUGUAGCAAUACAGAAAGUUUUUUUUAGUGGCGAACGGGUGAGUAAUAUAUAGGAACUUACUCAAUAGUGGGGGAUAACAGUUGGAAACGACUGCUAAUACCGCAUAUUCCCGAGAGGGGAAAGGUAUUUAUAUCGCUAUCGAAGAGGCUUAUAUCUGAUUAGCUAGUUGGUGAGAUAACUGCUUACCAAGGCAAUGAUCAGUAGCCGGUCUGAGAGGAUGAUCGGCCACAUUGGGACUGAGAUACGGCCCAAACUCCUACGGGAGGCAGCAGUAGGGAAUAUUGGACAAUGGACGAAAGUCUGAUCCAGCAAUGCCGCGUGAGUGAUGAAGGUGUUAUGCAUCGUAAAGCUCUUUUAACAGGGAAGAUAAUGACAGUACCUGUAGAAUAAGCACCGACUAACUAUGUG